rnacentral:misc_RNA from 1 species
GGAAGAUCAUAGGACUAAUACGCAUAAAAGAGAGAUCAAGGAGACAAAAUAAACCUUGUUUCUUUGCCUGAGUGCUUGUGCAACAUGUCUAGAUUUUGUUGUAAUUUGCAACCAUCUUUAGAUUGAAAUAAACCCUGUAACUUAAUUGUUUAGUAGAAUCGUUUUCUUACAUCAUUGGUUCCCCCCAUUAACCCCAUCCCCC